rnacentral:rRNA from 1 species
CGGCCGCGUCGACGGCAGAGGGAAUUCCUGGUGUAGCGGUGAAAUGCGUAGAGAUCAGGAAGAACAUCGGUGGCGAAGGCGCUCUGCUGGACCAUAACUGACACUCAGUGAACGAAAGUUAGGGGAUCGAAGACGAUCAGAUACCGUCGUAGUCUUAACCGUAAACUAUGCCGACUAGGGAUCGGGCGAUGUUCUUUUUCUGACUCGCUCGGCACCUUACGAGAAAUCUAAAGUUUUUGGGUUCUGGGGGGAGUAUGGUCGCAAGG